rnacentral:rRNA from 1 species
CGCAGCCGCGGUAAUUCCAGCUCCAAUAGCGUAUAUUAAAGUUGUUGCAGUUAAAAAGCUCGUAGUUGAAUUUCGGGGUUAGUAGGUUGGUCAUGCCUCUGGUAUGUACUGGUCUCACUGAUUCCUCCUUCCUGAUGAGCCGUAAUGCCAUUAAUUUGGUGUUGCGGGGAAUUUGGACUGUUACUUUGAAAAAAUUAGAGUGUUUAAAGCAAGCUAACGCUUGAAUACAUUAGCAUGGAAUAAUGAAAUAGGACGUUCGAUCCUAUUUUGUUGGUUUCUAGGAUUGACGUAAUGAUUAAUAGGGAUAGUUGGGGGCAUUAGUAUUCAAUUGUCAGAGGUGAAAUUCUUGGAUUUAUUGAAGACUAACUACUGCGAAAGCAUUUGCCAAGGAUGUUUUCAUUAAUCAAGAACGAAAGUUAGGGGAUCGAAGACGAUCAGAUACCGUCGUAG